UGAUGGCUUGUCAUGACAUGUUUGGACUCACCGUUGGUGAAGAGCGGCUCUGGAAGUUUCCUGAAGAAGGAUUUGAGUAAACUGCUGACAACAUUGAGGUCCUGCCACUUCUGUUGACAGCAAAGGACACAGAGAGGAGGUUGAUGUCGACGCCCUUGUUGAGCUGAUCCUGAAGCAUUGACACCAUGGCGUUGUUCCCAGGGACUCUGUAGAUCCCGGUGUAUUCCAGACCCAUCUCCUCCACCAGACCGCAGCAGAUCUCCACGAUCAGCGGGAUGAACUGAGAUGGACACGGACAGAAUUUAAUCACAAAUAAAACAUCCAGUAGAAAA